AAGACCGAUUAUUGUGUAGUCCACCACGAGAAAAAAACUAUCCGCUGGUCCAAAAACAUAUUUUUGGACCAGAAAACUUAUCUUCUAGUCCUAUUCAUGUGCGAGUGAUAUAAAUUGCAUUUUUCAAAAGCCAAAACUACCCUUCCGUAGAAUAAGAUGCAUAACCAAAUUCUAUUUUACUUUCUCUGUAGCUCUUGAAGAAACCUCCGGGGUAUGAAAUGAGGAAAAUUUCUCACUGAAAAAAUCAGAAAAUCUCAUCAACAACAUUGAAAAAGCUAAGCCCUCCACUAAUCUCUCAAAUUUUGAUUUCAGAUCCAACAAGAUCCGCGAAGACAUAUUAUUGAUGGAAAACAUAGUAAUGUUACUUUCGAUGAAUUCCCUUAUUAUCUCAGCUGAAUUUACUGAAUAUAUCCAAGUAUGGGGUGGCAGGAAUGGUGGUGGUAGUAAGAACAAGGAAUCUGCGACCUGUGGUCAUAACAGAUGGAAGCAUUGUGGAUGUUGUUCCGUCGUCAGAUGCCCGCAGAACUCAUGUUAUGUCUCAGAUAAAUGCACAGUUUAUUUAUAGGAAUGAAAGACUCGCAAAAUUUGUGGACAUAAAUAUCUACUGCAGAAUUUGUUCUAUCUAGUAGUCUCCGGACUGCAUCAACAUUCUCCCUCAUUUCUUUGCAAAAGCGACUCAUGUCGAUAGUGCACUUAACAGUAUGGGGGAAUUUAUUGCACUCUCAUCAUUCCUGCAGAAGUUGCACAAUGACGUCCUUGGAAAAUGGAGAUCCAUAGUUUCUAAUGUCGGUCUUUCACUAGUUCUGAUACUCGGUACAUAUUGAUAUGUACUAUGGUUUUACUCAGUACAUAUCGAUAUGUACUGCAGAAUUAUACAAAAUAUUAGAAUUGCAAAGAAGAAGAAAACCAGAAACAUCAACAUAAAUCGUUGGAUGGAGUUGAUUUUCGCAUCUCAAAAGGGAUGAUAUCUCUGUAUCUUACUUGUUCAUUCAUGAGAGAGUACAAUAUCUGUAAACAAUCCAAAUUAAUAGCUAAA